rnacentral:rRNA from 1 species
GACGUAGGGCGCGAGCGUUGUCCGGAUUUAUUGGGCGUAAAGAGCUCGUAGGCGGCUUGUCGCGUCGACUGUGAAAUCCCGCGGCUCAACUGCGGGUCUGCAGUCGAUACGGGCAGGCUAGAGUUCGGUAGGGGAGACUGGAAUUCCUGGUGUAGCGGUGAAAUGCGCAGAUAUCAGGAGGAACACCAAUGGCGAAGGCAGCUCGCUGGGACGGUACUGACGCUGAGACGCGAAAGCGUGGGGAGCAAACAGG